UUUUUUUUUUAAAGUAGCUGCUGAACACAGGAGAAUCUGCCUUUUUCUUGAAUCGUGGUUUUUUUGUUUUUUUUUUUUUCAAGACGGAGUGUUGCUGUUGUCGCCCGGGCUGGAGUGCUGUGGUGCGAUCUUGGCUAAUUGCAACCUCCGCCUCCCAGAUUCAAGCGAUUGUCCUGCCUCAGCCUCCCGAGUAGCUGAGAUUACAGGCACGCACCACCGUGCCUGGCUAAUUUUUGUGUUUUUAGUAGAAACAGGAUUUCACCAUGUUGGCCAGGCUGGUCUCAAACUCCUGACCUUGUGAUCCACCUGCCUCGGCCUCCCAAAGUGCUGGGUUUACAGGCGUGAACCACUGCACCCGGCCUGAAUCAUGGUUUUUUGAAACCAUUGGCAUCUGAACCUGUAGCUCUCUCUGGUAGUGUUGUGUGGUUUUAAAUGUCAUGUGAGCUGAGUUACUGACCUCAACCUACUGCCAGAUGAAGGUGUGAUCCUGUGAUACCAAUCUUGAGGGUCCCUUCUAGUUUUAGCAGUCAGUGACUUCUCUUGUUUAUUUUUGUUUGAAAAAGUAAAAGGCUCUCUUUUUGGCUAUAGAGUUGCAUCUUGAAAUUUUUGACAAAUUACAUAGAGCUGAAGAAGGAUACAAGUUUUGAUAUCUUAAAAUCACAGGGUUGAAGCUUGAAAGGACAGUAUUGGCAUUGCAGCUAAGUGGGAGUGUGAGGAAGCGCCUUCUCUAGGGCAGGUAAUUGCAUCUGUUAAUGUGGUCCUUGGGCCCCUGAGUUGCUGCCUUCCAAUCAGAAUUCCCUUAGCAUUAGCCAGUGACGCCUGAAUUAAUCUCAGGUAGGACUUCUAACUUUUUUCCAAAAUUAUUUUUGUGCAGAGGUUUAUCUAGAUUUUUCUUCUAAAUGUCCUCCUCCCCACUUGUUUUAUUAUUACUGUUUUUUUCUCUCUUUAAUUUUUUUUUUUUUUUAAUAGAGACAUGGUCUCACUAUGUUGCCUGGGCUGAUCUCAGACUCCUGGGCUCAAGUGAUCCUCCUGCCUCAGCUUCCCAAAGUGCUGGGAUUAUAGGCGUGAGCCAUUGCGCCUGGCUCUGUUACUGUUUUUCUAACCUGAGUUACUUAGGAUCAUAUUUUCAUUCUUUUUUAAAAAGAUGGGAGUUUUCUGAACUUUUCCUUAACUAAAAAGUGGAAUGCAUCUUAAUAUUUUCCUUUUUUUACUUGUGUUUCUCCCCAGGGAGGGAAAAACAUAUUUAUUGUGACAGAAUUUAGCAUAUUUUAGGCCACAUUAAAAUACUGAUAAAUGUAUUAAUCAGUGAAAAUAGGUUAUAGUGAAAAAUAUAUACCAUUUGAUUAAUAAAAAUGUUAUUGGAAAAAUGCAAGAACUGCUGUAAGAAUUGCUAACAUUGUGUUGGAAAAUAAAUAUACUAAGCUAAGAAACAAUGGGAAACUGUCAUAUGUAGGGCCAACAGCCUUUUUUUUUUUAAACCCUUCCAAUUUAUUAAUAUCUAGUCUAAUAAACCCUGAUUUAUAGGACCUCUGCACCUUUUUUGACUUUUUAUUCAUCCAUUCUUAAUAUUCUACACUAUGACAAAAUCCUUAAAACUCCAUUAUUGAUGAAAUGGGAACAGACUUUUGUUUUUGUAUGUUGGUGUUCUCUGAGUGGUGAAGGCCCAGGGAGAAUGUUUUGUUUGGUGGUCACUUAGCAUUUGAAAACAUCCACUUCCUUGUGACUUAGCUGGGUAUCUUUUAACAUCUGGAAGCCACGUCCCUGAUUGAAAUCUCUGGAGACAACUUACCUUUCACCAACUUGUCUGCCAAAUUGCACCAUGGACCAAGAUUGCAGUGGCUGCAUCAAGUCUAGGCCUGCCCUGAAGUCUGGAUUUGUAAGUCCCCCAUUUCAAAUGGGGCAGAAGGCAGAGGAGCAGAGGAGCCACUGUGCCUUUCGCUGUCCUGGAGCCAGUUGGCCUUCUGGUUUUGGUGAACCCUGCUUUUAUAAGAGGACUCCCUGGCAUCUUCCAGUUUCCCGCUACUUGUUUUAUGUAUUAUUUUAUGUCUGUGUUUGUCCUGGAGUGCUGUAACUCCUUUCACUGUCUGCUGUAAGUUCAACUUCUUCAAUAAAAGAAAUGUUUCAAAUUGGA
rnacentral:lncRNA from 1 species